AUCUUUAUCCUCCAAACUGAUAGUUUAAUGUUCCAAGCUAAAGCAGCUAGCCAAGACUGUAAAAACAUUAAAAGGCAAGAAAUCCAAGUAGAUUUAUUUACCAUGCUGGAUUUGUUUCAGAAAAAUCCUAGACAACAGUGAAAGUCCAUAGAGAGCCAUGAUUGUCACUUUUGUAAGCCCUAAUCAAACCUAUCCUAGACCUCAGUCCUUUAUAUUAUCACUACUCACCAUCUUAUCUAGCUAACAUUGUUUCAGAAAAACCACCAGCUAAAGAAAGAGAUGGGAAGGGGCUAAGGGCGUUAAAACGGUCUUAUAGGAAUAAGAGGGAAAAAAAAAAAACAAAGAAGAACUAAAAACUCAAGCCGGAGAUGUAGCGUAAAUGACGGAGGGAUGCUGGCCGGAGAUGUGCGGUGAAAUGCUGGCCGGAGAUGUGGAGAUAAGGACAUCGGGUUUCUCUAUUUUGUAUUGCUUGGGCUAAUUUG
rnacentral:lncRNA from 1 species